GCAUUGGUGGUUCACUGGUAGAAGUCUCACCUUCCACGUGGGAGAUCUGGGUUUGAUUUCAGGCCAAUGUA
rnacentral:tRNA from 1 species